rnacentral:rRNA from 1 species
UACGUAGGGUGCAAGCGUUAAUCGGAAUUACUGGGCGUAAAGCGUGCGCAGGCGGUUAUGUAAGACAGAUGUGAAAUGCCCGGGCUUAACCUGGGAACUGCAUUUGUGACUGCAUGGCUAGAGUUUGGCAGAGGGGGGUAGAAUUCCACGUGUAGCAGUGAAAUGCGUAGAUAUGUGGAGGAACACCGAUGGCGAAGGCAGCCCCCUGGGUCAAGACUGACGCUGAGACGCGAAAGCGUGGGGAGCAAACAGG